rnacentral:piRNA from 1 species
UCCCCUUCAGUUGCAUGCACCUCCG